rnacentral:lncRNA from 1 species
CCGACCGGAACGCGGCGAGCUCCGAGCUCCCGACGGCCAGGCCCGAGCUGCGCCGGACUGGGCCGGGGUGGGCUCGCAGGGACGAGGUUCGGGGACGGGACCCAGUUCCGUGGCGGGCUGCUUUCCUUCCUCAGAGGCCGCGAGGUCAUGGCGGCGGCUCGAGUUCCCUGCUUCCAGUGUGGGUUGGUCAGUUCCUCCACAGCGCUUUUAAACGCCGUGAGACGGUCCCACUCUGCCAGCUGCUCUGUGGCAAGCUGCCCAGCGUUUCACCCGUGUGUUCCCUGCCGCCCGCGCUCGGCGCGGCCUCGACUCAGCCUCCCCGAGGAGGUCCCCUCGACCGUCGUGGCCCUGGCGUUUGCCAUGCGAGGACAUCGCGUUGCGCUCCUGAGCCGAAACCUGUGCGCGCUCGGCGGCUGAGGCCUUUGGUGCCGCAGGAGGCAGAAACCGGAGCUCCCGUGCCCGGCCCCGCAGGGACCGGAAAGGCGAGCAGCCUGCGCUGCCCUCUCCGCCCGCUCGGAACCAGGGUCCCUAGGGUUCGGUCGCUCAGGUUCUGCCCUGAACCAGGCACAGGUCCAUCGGAUCAUUUCCACUUACGAAGUAAACGAUUUGGUUUUUUUAAAACUUCAUUUUAAACAUUAGGUAUUUUAAAUCAUCACAAAAUGAAGUUGGAAGACUAAGUUACUGGAGUCAACUUAGAUAACUUGAUACAUUACAUAUUAUCAAUGACAUUUUAAAAACAAAACUGAUUUUUGACUUCGGAAAACCAAGUAAUAAUUGUCAUUUCUAGUUAGAGACUGAAGCAAAUUGUGAAAAAUCAUGUAAAUACCUAGGCUACUUUCUCAAACUACUGUUGUUUUUCUCUUUUUUAAAGACUGCUAAAAAUCGUGAGAUUUGGAAGUAGAAGAUGUUCAGGUUAUGUUUUCAGAAAGAUGCUUGUCAAUCACAGUCAACAAGCUGUGGGUUUCCUGAAUGGAAGUAAAAGCCGCGCAGAGUUAAAAGUCGUCCCAUGUCUUGGGACUGUGCUUCUGGUGGCAGUGCCUCCCCUCUGUGGAUGAAACAUGCCGCGUUGGAUGCAUUCCCGUGAAGCAGGCAUUGUCUCUGCUCCCCGGAGGAUCCUAGCUCUCUGAAAGAGCUCUUUCAGGAAACACCUAGGUUCAACUUCAUGCAGCAGGAGCUCCAGUUGGAUUCACUUGGUACUUCAGUAUGCUGGAAACGAGAAAGCUUCAUUUAUAAUGUAAAGAACAAAUGCUGGGAAGUUGCUCUAACAUACAGUAUGUGUGUUCCCAAAGGUGAAGGCUCCAGAUGUGGCGGCCAAGCUGAAGAGACCAUCAGAGAGGCUGAAGGAGAAGCAGGAUGAACAGCAGAAUUACCAGGUUCUGACUCUGACGGUGGCCAGUCUGUGUCUCUUCUUCAUGGUGCUUGCCACACAGUAAGUGACUAUUUGUUCAGUUCAUUGAUUUGUUGAUUCCCUGAUUGAUUGACUAGGUGGAGAGAAUGGGGGAGGUGAUUCUCGGAUUAUUCAGAGACCCGACACAAAGGGAACCCAUGGAGACCAGCUAGCUAGAGUGACGACCCUAAUCAGAAGCACCAUGAGAAUGGUACUAACAUUCUUCUGCUGGCAGGAGAUUCUCUUGCUUUGCUGAGACGCAUAGUGAUGAAGGAAGAGACAUCACAGCCCUUUCCUGGGGUGCAGAGUCCCGUCUCAUCCGCAGAGCAGGGACAGCACAAGUGCUGAUCCCAGAAGUGACUGAGGGUGAAUGCAGCCACUCACGGUGGGACUCAGCACGACGUCAUUCUGUCUCAAGUUCGUUAGGUCAACAUUUUUAAUCGGUGCAAAUAGAUAAAUAGCACAUGUUCACAGAGGUUUUAUGCGUUUGGUUUUUUAUCUGAUUCCAUGGACUCCUCCUGUAGCACACGUUUAAACAUCAGCCUGGAUCUCUUCCGUCUUCUUGCCCCUGAGUUCGCUCUUUGCUUUGCAGUUCUGGCCGGAACCAGAACCUGGGGCUGCUAGGGCUAGCGCUGGCCACUGAGCUACCCUGCCAGGCCUCAUGUAUUAAUCUGAAAACUUCAAGGUCCUUUCACUGAUCAAGAAAUAAUGACUGUACUUUUAAUAUUUGAUUAAUAACUUUGAAAAUUAGCCUAAAAUUUGUGUUUAGUUAUGUUGGGAGUCCUGAAGGGAAAAGUUCUAGCUGUACAGCAGGACCAGGGGGGUUGAGCAGUUCCUUGGGGUACUCGGGCUCAGCUCCUUCUGCCCCUUCUCUGCUAAUGACCACCCUCUCCACCCUCCAGCCUUGCAGAUUUCCUGACCUCCAGACAGCCCUCUCUUUCCCUUGCCUGGACCCUGUGUUUUUUCUGGAAGCAUCAUCUCCAGCAGAAUCUCCCAGGGCAAUGCUUCCCACCCAUCACCAGGCACAUGCAGGACAGGGAGGACAUUUUAUGCCUCUGUGUAUCCAUCAUCAAAUGAUUCCUUGAUUAUGAAACUGUCCUAUGUGCUCCUAAAAUGCAGGCUGUGGUGAGCCGUUCCCCCAUGGCCUGGGUACCCAGCUCCCAGAGGCUGGAUCGGCUCAAGGCAUCGGAGCCUGCCCUGCCUCUCCCUUGGGUGCCUCCCUCUGUGACUUUGACCCUGGGAUGCUCCUGGGCUCUGCAGGGUACAUAAGCCUGCCUUUCAAGGACUCAGACCAUUCCCUUCAGGGAGCAAGGGAAGGGUUGCUGCCAUCUCUGUGCUGUUUGUAAUGAGCACCCAGUGCAAUCCAAUCUGUUUAAAACAUGUGGAGAUGGUUACAUAAAAUGUUUGAGAUGAAUACUUAAAGUCAGGUUCAUAUAAUUACUCUUCAUUUAUAUCUCUUCAUUUCACUUGCACAAGACCCUCCUGACUGGCAGCAUGAGACCCACGUGGAACACAGCAGAGUGCGGAGUUACGCUGUUCACAGCACGGGUACCAUGCAGACCCUGUGUGCAAGGCUAGUUCCCAGCCAGGCGCUGCUGGGAGGUGGUGGCACCUUUGAGGGUGAGGCCGAGCAGGACAUUAGGUCAUGAAGGACACAUCCUUGAAGGGAGCUCUCAGACCACAGUCUCCUCAUCCUCUUUUUCACAUCCGGCCCUGAGGUGAGAGGCUUUGGUGGACCACACACUCCCACUUCGGUGCGCUGCCUCAGCCUAGGAAACUGCAGGGCAGACAACCACACCUGAAUCUCCAACAUGUGAGUCAGAAGAAACUACUUCUGCAGGGGAAGGGGGAGUUGGGGUGCAGGGCAAAGGAGAGAAGGGGAUGGAAUUCAUAUGAGAAAAUGGAACAGUGGAAACAAAGUCUGUAAACAGGGAGGGAGUGGAGGGGUGGAGGGAGGGCAGGGGAAGGGAAAAUAAGAACCUAAGAGAGUAUGUAAAGGUGCAGAUCUCCAAUGAUGAGUGUCAUUAUACUGUACACCUAAAAUGUACCAAUAAAAUUAAUUUAAAAAGAAGAAGA